UAGCUCAGUUGGUAGAGCAACUGACUUUUAAUCAGUGGGUCGUAGGUUCGAAUCC
rnacentral:tRNA from 1 species